rnacentral:rRNA from 1 species
CUACGGGCUGCUGCAGUAAGGAAUAUUGCGCAAUGGAGGCAACUCUGACGCAGCCAUGCCGCGUGCAGGAAGAAGGCCUUAUGGGUCGUAAACUGCUUUUAUUUAGGAAUAACCCCCUGCUCGUGAGCAGGGCUGAAGGUACUAAAAGAAUAAGCACCGGCUAACUCCGUGCCAGCAGCCGCGGUAAUACGGAGGGUGCAAGCGUUAUCCGGAUUUAUUGGGUUUAAAGGGUGCGCAGGCGGGCUAUUAAGUCAGUGGUGAAAUCCCGGGGCUCAACUCCGGAACUGCCAUUGAUACUGAUAGUCUUGAGUUUGGUUGAAGUGGGCGGAAUGUAGCAUGUAGCGAUGAAAUGCAUAGAUAUGCUACAGAACACCAAUCGCGAAGGCAGCUCACUAAGCCAAAACUGACGCUCAUGCACGAAAGCGUGGGGAGCAAACAGGAUUAGAUACCCCAGUAGUC